rnacentral:lncRNA from 1 species
CUUGUGUGUGUUUUGUUUUAAUAUCUCCACAAUUCUUGAACUAGAACAUCUUACAUUUGAUCUAUGUAAUGGUUUCAAUUUGGAUAUAUAGUCCACGAUAACUAUCGUUUAUUUUAGCUCAUUCAUACCAUUGCACUGAGUGAAAUAUUUUUGGUCACCCAUCUGUGUGGCACAAUCUGAAGAUGAAGCAUCCAUUUGGAACAUUGCCAGUAAUCGUGGUGUCAAAUUUAUAUCACGAAAAUUUUAAGUACUAGUAUGAGGGAUUGAAUUUUGUCCAAAUAUAUUGUAUUUAUGUUAAAGGGUACAUUUUGCAACAUGUUUGCCCUGGGAAUGCUGAGGGAGGGAAUUCCAGCUUGAGUUGAAAGUGUGCUCACUGGGAAUUUAAAACAUUUCGGGAUUUGUCUAAAGUCUAGUUGCAUAAAGAAGGAGAGUAGGCUUUGCAGUGAUGAGAUCAUUCUAGGGAAAAGAGAGUUGAGAGACUGGGCCUUCUCCCUGUUCAAUCAGAACACAGAGCAGGAUAAGGAGAGUGUUAUGGUGCCUUGAUGACACAGGACCAUCAGCCGUACCUCCAGCAGGGUGUCCAUCCACCCAAGGCAAGGCAGCACCAUGCAAGGAACCCAGAAACUCAACCUCGAGAAGGACAGAACCAAGCUGAAAAAGACAGCAUUGGGAGCUUCAGACAUGUCAGGGGAUGAUGUAUCUGGAAGCUAUGUCACCCAUCCUUCCCUCUGUGUCUGGGAAAUGGUGUGUUCACUGCACCACAGGCACCUUCAGUAACAGAAUCCUUGGGAUAGACAUCAUUGGGAGAGGCUAGGAUAGGAGAAAAGAAAGUGAUAGCUGUGUUUUGGUCGCUUGAGAUGCUCCUUUAGAGCUCUCAAAUAUGACUGGAUGAGUGAGGUCUCAGUGGGCAGGAUCUCAGCAACAGCAUCAGGUACUAAAGAAAUGUACCUCAUCACCAUCGAUGUCUUCCUAUUUUUGGAGGCUCUUGGCCUUUUUCACCCCAAUCCUUUGCAGCCUGGAAUGACAUGUGGAAACAUGGGCUAAAUAGUACAGUUAGCUGAGAAAGGGAAGUAUACGCAGAGUCUUUUAAGAGAUGAUGUCAACUUAGCAUGAAAGGCUACUUUAUGAACUGCAAGAAACUGCAAAACUAAACGCUGAUGGGAUAGUGGGAAGAAAUGAUAAGUUCUGUGAGUGAGGAAAUAUCCUCAGGCAAAAAAUUUGCCAUGUUAAUUUAGACAUUAUGUACCACCAAAUGAGUUCAGUUACCAGACAGAUCACAGAAACUUACCCAAGUACACACGGGACGUGAGUAUAGAAUAAGACAUCAGUUCAAGUCUCUGGGGAAAGUGGAUUGUUCACUAGUUCAUGGACAUUUGGUUAGGCAUUUGGAAACAAAAUAAGCUGAAUUCCAUUUCACUGUUUCAACCAAAAUUACUUCCAGGUAGAUAAAUGAUUUAAACAUGCAAAUGAAAUACUAAAAGUACACUCAGAAAAGAUGAGUGGAUUAAUUUUAUAAUCUUGGAGUAGAAAAAUUAUUUCUAAACAAUCCACAACUAUGAAAGUCCCACUUCUGGAUCUUUAUCCAAAAGACAUGAAAUCAGGAUCUCUAAGAGAUAUCUGCAUCCCAUACUCACUGCAGCAUUAUUCACAACAGCCAAGAUGUGGAAACAACCUAGGUGUCCAUCAACAGAUGAAUGCACAAGGAAAGCAUGGAAUAUAACUGCAAUGUAAUUUGUUCAGCCUUAAAAAAUGAGGAAGUCCUACCAUUUGCAGCAACAUGGAUGGACCUGGAGGAUAUUAGCUCUGUGAAACGAGUCAGUCACAGGACAAAUACUGCAGGGUUCCUCUUAUGUGAGGCAUCUAAAAUAGUCAGAGGUGUAGAGGUAGACAAUAGGAUGGGGAGGAGGGGUGUUGUUGUUCAAUGGGUACAAAGUUACAGUUACAUGAGAUGAGAAAGUUCCAGAGAUCUGCUGUACAACAUAGUGCCUAUAGUUAACAAUAAGUUACUGUGUGCUUAAAAAUUUAACAGGGUAGAUCUCAUGUUAAUUGUUCUUACUGUGAAAGGAAGGAAGGAAGGAAGGAAGACAAAGCAAUACAAGGAAACUUUUGGAGGUGAUAGGUAUGUUUAUUACCUGGUUUGUGGUGAUGGUAAUACAAGUGUAUACAUAUGUCCAAACUCACAAAAUUGUACACAUAAAUUACGUGCAGUUUUUUUGUAUACCAAUUAUACCUCAAAAAAGUGGGAAAAACACCCUGGAAAAACAUAGCCAGUGUUUGUUCUCUUUGGUCACUGAUACAUUCUGAUUGGUCAGUGCCCAUCAUUCAAAUUUUAAAUAUUACUCCUAAUAGUUGGGGCAUGACAGAUGAUGGAUAGACGUUAGAUAGAUAAUAGAUGAUAGAUAGGUAGCUAGGUGGAUAGAUGCAUAGAUAGAUAGAUAAGUGAUAUAGGUAGUGUAUUAGUCAGCUUGAGCCACCAAAACAAAAUACCACAGACUGAGUGGCUUAAAAAACAGAAAUUUAUUUUCACAUAGUUGCUGGCCAAUUUGGUUCCUGAAGAAGCCUCCUUUCCUUUCUUGCAGAUGCCAUCUUCUCACUGUGUCCUCACGUGGCAGAGAGAGUGUUCUGGAGUCUCUUCCUUUUCUUAUAAGGGCACCAGCCCAAUUAGAUCAGGGCUCGACCCUUAUGACCUUAUUUAACCUUUAUUACCUCCUCCCAGGCUCCAUCUCCAAAUACAGUCACACUGGGGUUGGGACUUCAGUAUAUGGAUUGGGGGAGACACAAACUUCAGUCCGUAACAGGUAGGUAAGUAGGUAGGUAGAUGAUAUUUGGUAGGUAGUUAAGUAGGUGGAUGCAAGGAAAGAAAGAAGAAAGGGAGGAAGAGAAGGAGAGAGGGAAGUAGGGAAGAAUAGCAUCAGAGGUUAACUGUUGGGGGUUGGGGGCUGGAAUUGAAGCCCGCAGCGGGAAAGGACUUCUACUAUUUAAUUUCAAUCACUCUGUACCCUAUUAAAUGUAUUGUCAUGACCAUGUAUUCCUUCCUUAAUUGAAAAAUAGUUUUAAGAGGCAUACUGAAGUGUUUAGGGAUGAAAUGAUCUGGUGUUUGAGAUUUGCUUUAAAAAUAGUUCACUGAAAGAAACGGGAGAGAAUAGACAAGACAAGUCUGGCGAAAUGAUGGCGGUUGAAGCUGGCUGAAGCUGGGUACAUCAGGAUUCCUUGUGCUCUCUAGAUUCAUGUCUGGAAACUUUCCCAAGUUAAAAAGCACUGUAAUGUACUGAUACACACUACAACGUUGAUGAACCUUGAAAAUACUAUGCUAAGUGAAAGAAGCCAGUCACAAAAGACCACACAUUAUAAGAUUCCAUUUAUAGGAAAUCUCCAGAAUGGGAAAAUCCACAGCAACAGAGAGCAGCUCAGCGGCUGCCAGCAGCUGGAGGGAAGGGUGGGGGUGACUCUUAACAAGCAUCGAGCUUCCUCUUGGGUGAUGGAAGUGUUCUGAAACUGGACAGAUGUGAUGAUGGCACAUUGUAAUGCACCAAAUGCCACUGCAUUGUACAUUUAAAAUUCUUCAAAUGAUAAAUUUGGUGUUGUGUAUAUUUUACCACAAUUAAAAAAUUAAUUUAACAAAACUUUGUAAGAUUAUAAUUUAGCUCAGCUAAUAAGGAAUGAAAAAAGAAUGCAUGUGUGUUUUGGAACAUACCUUUCACACUGGACAACAUUCAUUCUGACAACAGAGGGAUGGGUUGGAUUUGAGUAUUGGAUUAACCAAGGCAAUUUGACAAAGCAUCUCUCAGAAUUAAUUAAAUGUAGUAAAUGCAAGAGUCAAUUAAUAAUUAAUUGAUUGACUUGUAAUUUAUAUGCCAUCUAUUCUCAUAAAGAAAUGGAGAAGCUCAUGAAAGACACACAUAAGUAAGACAGCAAAAUGAUGUAAGUAAAUGUAAAUGUUUUUACAAUGAUUUUUAAAUUAUCUUACUUUUUAAGGUUUCCCUGUAGGUACUAGCAUUUUCAUCAUUGUUCUUACUUUUUUGCAUUUAUGUUUUUAUUUGUAUGAAAAUAUAAGAAUACCCAGAGACCAACUGAUGUUGACGAAACUACAGUAGGUACUUUCAUAAGAAAAGGGUAAGGAAUCAUGGCUGCGUAUUCAAUAUUCAACUUCACACCAAGGUAUAAAGAUGAUACUAAUAUAAGGUCUAGGAAAAAAAACAAAUAAAAUGCCACUCAGCACACAAACAAAAUGCUGAAGUUCGUUCUCGUGGCUGACACACCCUCUCAGUUCCUCCAUGUCCUUGAUAUUAACAAGUCUUUGCAACAUGACUGAAAGAGGGUAUCGGCAAUCAAGUGGGAUGGUUUUAAAGGAACACCAGUCACGCGCUCAACAAGCACCUCUGACGUGGCUGCUGCAGGGUGUGGGGUGGGCUACCCUGGGAUGUGUGUGGAAGAGCCAACACGACGCACACAGGUCCCACUCACAAGUAAAAAUCAUGCUUAUUGUCAGAGAGGUUUAUUUAAAAUCAUUAGCAUAGCUAAAUUUCAAAGUUCAAAUGAAAAUCAUGUUUUUUAUAGAUUGAGAAGUCCUCUCUGUUGUCUCUGUCAGACAAGUAGAUAUAUGUGCCAUUUUCAGGAAGUGGGGAUUCCUGACAUGUUGCAUGUUCUUCGUGCUAAAAUGCUAUCUACCUGUUAUAAACAUAAAAUCCGAACCCAUUAAAAUAGCAAUAGUGAAUUGCAAUAAAUAGGCAAAAACUAAACUGUUUCCUGGGGCCGGACCUGUGGCCGAGUGGUUGAGUUUGUGGGCUCCACUUCAGCAGCCUAGGGUUUCACCAGUUCGGAUCCUGGGUUCGGACCCAGCACCGCUCAUCAGGCCAUGCUGAGGCAGCGUCCCAUAUAGCAGAACUAGAAGGACCUACAACUAGAAUGUAUGACUAUGUACUGGGGAGCUUUGGGAGAAGAAGAAGAAAAAGAGAGAAGAUUGGGAACAGAUGUUAGCUCAGCUGCCAAUCCUUAAAAAGUAAGAUGUUUCCUUUAAAAAGCAUUUUCUGAUACACACAACUGGUUUUAAUGAGGAUAAUCAAGCUUCAUUUAGUUUUAAUCUAAGGUCAACUGACCGUGUCUUGGAAAUAGAGAAAGCAAUCAUCUUUAUGCUUACACCCAGCAGAUAUAAGCUCCAUGCCCGGCUUCAUAUCAAGGAGCCAAACCAAGAGCAGCACUGGGGAUGUACUAAUCAAUGGCCUGGUGGUGGUAACUCAGCCCUACGGCCCAAAAGAAGAAAAGGCACACGAGCCUGAGUCUCGGCCAGAGGUAGCACACGUCUUGGGGAGGAAGUCAGUGCCCUGGUCACCUCAGGGGACGACAACGAGUCCAAAACUGGAGGGGAAUGACCGUCGAGGGUAGGCCUCUACUAAUAAAUCCCUGAGACUGGAGGGAAGGGAAGCAUGGUCCAGCCUCUGAGGGAGCGUCCCUGGUGGGCAUGGAUGAGGCUGGGGCUGCCUUCUGGGAUGUGAUUGGUAGGCAAGCAAAAUUGUUUAAGGCAAUGCUAGGUUGCUAUUCUGUAUUGACCUGCCAACUCGAUCCACAGAAAAUAUGUCCACAUGUUCCUACAUGAAACAGCUGUUAGAAUGCACGAUGAGCUAUCUCUUGGAUGGUUAAUAUGGAGCUGUUCUUGGGGACAAAGCACAACUUCUGAGGUCUAACCAAAAGGUUUUCUCACGCUGAAGCUGAGAGAGCCGAGCCCCGAGUGUGCAGAUGGAAGCGCCACAACAGCAAAUUACAAGAACACAGGUUGGUGGUGAUGAAGACAACGGCCGUCAUUUUAUCCAUCCGUGUGUCUGCAAGAGAGCACAUGGGAGGCCACUGGGCGUGGGGGUGCUUAUCUUUAGGGGAACAUGCAGUAGCCUGGACCAAUCCUAAUUCCUGGGGCUCGUGCUCGAUGACAUGGGUCAUAUGAAGGUGCUAUUGCUCGACUGAACACAUUUGGCAGGUGCAUUGCCUGCUGAAGGAAAUGGAAAAAAUGGCCCCAAAUUACUCUUGCGACAUUCUCAUAUGGUCUUCCGUGAUUGUUUCCCACAAUUGAGAGUCCACAGUACAGUGCAAGAGACAAGUAGCAGGACUGAUUCUUCACUUAACUCAGAACUAAAUAAAUGCCACUUUGCAGGUCCCCUGUGGUUCCAGAGAGGGGAGGAAAACAGUGACAGUAACUUGUGAAGAACAGUUGUCUCUUAGCCCAUGAUGCACCUCAUACUUCUUUACUGCAUUUGACACCACAAGUGGAAACCUACAGACCUGUUGAUGGCAGGUGAUACAGAUGAGAAAGCAAAGUCUUAGCCGGGAAGAACGUUAAAGUCACUUGUUGGGAACUCAGUCAUUCUGACCAUAAUACCAUGAGUAUCCAGACCUCAGUGACCAUCCAGAAAAGAAGAAAAAAUGCUGGUCCAAUGCAAAGUGACCUUAUCUAGUGCAAAACAUAGUUUUUGCCAAAAUACUCAUUGUCCCAAGAAAUUCUUCUCACUCAAAGUUGCAAUACCUGCCAGAGAGAGGUCAUGCUGUCACUGCUAAGGUAAAACACACUCCCCUGUCCCCUCUUGCUUUGUAAUGCCUGCUCUUCAGCAGAAAUGGACUUCUGGAAGGAGUAAUGGGCCAGGAGUCAGAAGAUGCUGAUGCAAAUCUAUGUUCUAUCAUUUUGAAACUCAGUGUUCGUGGGUGAAUCAUUUCCCCUCUCAGUUUCCUGGGAAUAAGGAGAAGCUGCAUUUCUACCAUUGAGGACAGUUGCAAGGAUCACUUGAUAUGAUGUAAUAUGAAAGAACCUGCAGAUGAUAAAAGGAUCUGCAAGUGAAAGCUGUCAUCAUCUUCAUUAUCAUAGCUGAAGACGCUGUGGGGAGCCUUUUGUACAAGCAGAGAUUCUCUCCUGAGACAUUUCUAGUUGGAAUAUCUACAAGACUCCAUCCUAAACAGAGUUUGUGGCAGGUAAAUUCACUUGUAUUCAUGUCGCACUAUUAACAUCCCUUUUUCAAACUAAAAAUGCAAAUAUGGAUGGCAAGAGACAAAGACAAUUGAACAGAAAGCUUCUGACUCUCCAUCGCCCUCAGCAGUGACCCCAGAAUGUGCCUCCUGGGGACAAGUCCUGGCCUUGGCCUGGUUGGGGCCACUCUCCCACUUUCCUCGCAAUGAGCAGCACAUGGUCGUGGUCUCACAGUCGUUGUCACACAGGCAACUUUGGGUUGAAUUGCUUUGACCUCUAUUUGAUUUGGUUAUUCUUCUUCUCCCAAAUACUUCUAUUAUUUUCUGGAAAAUGAUUGUUUUCACUGUUACUCUUACUCUUUUCAGCAGCAUUAAAAGAUUACCACCUCUGUGUGGCCAGUACAGUGGCCACAAAUGCCACAUUGUCACUUUGCAUCCCCUCUGCUGUUUCCUUUGUACUGUGAGUUCAAGAACAUAAAGGAACAGUUGUACGCCUGUUUCAAAUUGUUCUGCCCAGGCGAAAAUUAAGACUAAAUAAAAGCACCCAUGGCAUUGCUGUUUGCAGGCAUAGUCCACCUGCAUUUAAACUUGGAGUCAAUUGCUAUAUAAGAUUGAAGUUGCUAAGUAUGGCAACUACCUACUUUUUAAAAGAUAAGCUAUAUGCAGAAAGUCUUUUUCUGAAAAAUCUGUUUAGGUGUUAAUGGUUCUAAUGUUGUUUUUCAAAACAUGUAUAGUUCCCCUGACACAAGAUUCUCAUUGAGAGACCAUCUGAAACAGUGAACACUGGCAGAAACAGGGUCAUGCUCUGGGGUCUCCACUGCAAUUACUUGUCUAAGUCAGGUCCUCUCAGUGGGCUACCACAUACAACUUCACCUCACACAGAAUCUGCAAGGCCUGUCUGAACCCAAAACCAAUUUACAUCUUUAGGGUCUUUGCUCUGAGGGACCUUCUCUGAUCAGACCAAAAUAGCUAUGCAGCGUACUCGCUAUCUCCAUAUUCUGCUUUAUUUUACUUCAAAAAGCAUGUUAAUAAUUAAAAGCACAUUGUUUUUUUGUCUAUUCAGGACUUGGUUCUUGCCCUUGAGGAUCUUGCCAGCUAGCCUCGGAGGAAAGACACACAAACGUUAUCUCAACAUAAGGUCCUUCUAGUUAUGGCAUGUGGGACACUGCCUCAGCGUGGUUUGAUGAGCAGUGCCAUGUCCUCGCCCAGGAUUCCAACGAAACACUGGGCCACCUGCAGCGGAGCGCGCAAACUUAACCACUGAGCCACCGGGCCAGCCCCCUGGCAGUAUGUUUUAUUCCUAAUUUUCAUGGGUCGUGUAGGUUUUCCAUCUGCCUGAUGUUUUUUUCCGGCCUCACUGUGUAAUAUUUGUGCAGGUCUCUACACGGCCCCAUGUCGAUGCCCACUGAUAAUUACUUAUCUCUGAAGGAAGCAGUUCUCCUGAGCCGGCUCAUCUGGGACCAGUGCGAGGCGGGGACGAGGGAGGGAGCUGCAGAAAGACCACGCCCUCCACCCGGGCUUGUCCUCAGCCCUCGGGCUUCCCUCUUCUGAGCUCCCCUAAAUCACACAGGGUGAUGGCAGCCUCUUCCUUCCAUCCACCCCGCUGAGGCAGACCGUCUUAGGGAAAAGCUGGGUCAUAGACAAUAAAAAUAGCACACGGAUUCGCCUUCAGUUUUACCUCCUACAUUUGGGAUGGGUCUGCGUCUAGGCUCCUCCCUGCUCAACGGCCCAUCAGCCCGGUGCCCACCUGCUCCCCUACCGCUGGCACAGGGCCAGACCCUGGGGCAAAGCGAGCACUCCAGAACCGGUCAGCAGAGGUGGGCGUCCCAGCAGAGUGAGGCACGGGUUUGUUCACCCGCCAUCUCCGGCGCGUCACUGGUUCCCAAAAACUCCGCCUCUUUCCCUCUCUUCCGCGCCUUUGCUCUUUGCCCCGGGUGUGUCGGGGAAGGGGAGAUGUGGCGGGGACGGAGGGCUCAGGCGGGAGGGGCAGGUGGCCCUGGGGUGUUGGAAACCCUGGGCGACGCCUGCUCGGCGAGCUCCUUCCCUGCCCCGCUCCGUCACUAAGCGCUUCCUGACACGAGGAGGCCGCUCAUUCCGAGAUGGGAAGAUUCGGGUUCUAGGACCCAGCUGUCUGUACGCAUGUGGAGAAGCCCCCAGUCGCCUCCUCUUCCAUGUUAUCACCUCAGGGCGUUUAAACACUUAAUUUAAACACUUAAUAGUUCAGCAGCAGGGAAAUAAGCCACCACAUGAGCGGUAAGUUUCCCACUUAGAAAAAAUCAGAAAAAAAAAAUAUUUUUAAAAGAGAAGAAGAAAUGGUGGGUGGGCUGAGUUUACGUCUCCUGCCUGGUGGAUUAGUGAUUCCGUCGGCACAGCAGCAGGCUAACAUUUUCAAAUAGGGAGACAUAUGAUUAAAUCUCUCUUUCGAUGUUAUCUGCAAAUUGAUUCGCUGAGCUCUGCUUCCAGGGCAGCUCUCUACUUAGAGUCGGAGAGUCUUGGCGUGGAGUUAGGAUCACUGUCCUGCUCUGCAGUGGACGCGCUCUUUAAAGCACUAAUUAGACCAACAUUCACUGUCUUGUAUGACUGGGACCUUCAACCUGUUGUUCUUUUCUAAUUAGAAUAAUUUCUCCUCCUGCCUUACCAAUCAAAUGGAGAAAUUGUUGGGAGUUCUCGCCCCUCCUUCCAAGUUCCCUGUGAUGUGCAGAGGCAUGGGAAGCACGUGGCUCUGCUCCCCCAUCUCCGCCAGCUCAUUCCUUCCUCGAGGGUGAUGACUUGGAAGUUCAUUUCCCGCCAGCCAAUUUCCUAGUGCUUCUCUUGAAGUAACAGAUUGUUGGCUCCUGAGAAAUUAUUAUUAUUGAAAUAGGCCUUAAACCAGGGUCAAGAAUCCCUAAAUGGAUGUCUAAUGGUCACUAGUGAGCAAAACAAAGGUGUAAGAAGUGAGGACGGGAUCUAGUGACCAUUAGGUAUCAGUUUAGCCAUUCUUGACCCUGAUCGAAGGUCUUUUUCUGAAGGUUUAAUUAAAUGACAUUAUACAAACCACAUUGACAUACUUCUUCAAAAAACGCAAUUUCUCUGCCUCUCCCUUCCAAGCGAGUUCCAGUUCCCGGCCAAGAUCCUUGGGUGACAUCUGCACUGUGGCGUAGGCGUGGAUAUUUUCUGAUAACAGUGGUGAUAAGGCUUUCAGCUGAGGCUCCCCAGGUACAGGCCUGCCCAAGUCCAAGGACAGCGAUCACAGCUGUCAGUCAUCACUACACUGCUGGGGGCAGUACUGCUCUUAUCCCUGUUCUACAGAAGAGGAAACUGAGGCACGGUGCUUAAGGAACUGGCCCAUGGAGAAGCUUCAGCCUGAGCCUUGUGGAAGCCUUGAGUCUGAUGUUAGGACCUGCUCUCCUCACCACAUCUUGAAUGGUUUCCACUGAUGAAUAGAUAGAAGCUGUUGGAUUGAUCUCGCAUCCUGACAGCCAGUUGGCUGUCCAAUACUCUCACCCAACAGCUGUAUCUCCUGCUGUGCAGCAUCUUCUGUAAAUCUCCACUCUGUGUAGCCUUCGUUCAGUGGGUGAUGUUCACUGAGUCACUCAUUCAACAAGUAUUCAUGGAGGACCUUCUAAGUGCGGGUUCUCAGAACUGUGUGCAGCUCCACUGGGGAACAAAGCAGAGGUGCAUGCCCCCGUAGAGAGCACAGUCUAACAGGAGAGACGGGCGCUGAUCAAGUCACUUGGCUAUUAAAUGAAUUGUGAGACCUGACAGAAGUGCUCAACAGGAGCAGUGCAGGAGCGAGAACAGACAGCGGGAAGCCUGCUCCAGACUGAGAGUUUCUGCAACCUUCUCGUCUACCGUGAAACUUACACUUAUUUUGAGGGUUGAGAGGCACCAGCAGGAAACAGUUGCACUUGUGAAAGUAGAGUAGACAGUAGAGAGGAGGCAGGUGACAAAUAGAAAUGGCAAGCAAUAGAAUAUAUUGGAAUAUAUGAAGAAGCCAUUUGGUGUAAACCCAAUUCGGCCUGACUUUGUUUUUUCCAAAAGGGCCUGACUGUGGCCAUUGAGCAUCCAUUGUAUAUCUGCUUUAAAGGUUUGUUUACUAUGGCAAGAACAAAUGGCCUUAAGAUAAAGGUGCAACUUCCCCCGACAUUGGCAUUUCCUUAAGGAUAAGCAUCUUUCCUUAGGCUAGGAGCUGAUUGCUGUGCUCACCUUUGACCACCCAGCUCACCUGUGACCACCCGGCUCAAUACAACAGACCUGCCACCCUGCUGUGUUCACUGAGACAGCAGAUCUACCUGCUGUGUCCAUCAAUCGCUGUGCUGUGCCAACAGAGCAGUCUUGCGACUAUUGUAAAAGGGACAUUUCAAUUGUAUGCGAAACAUCCUCUUUGGGGGUAUAUAACCACUCUGUACACCCCACUUCUUUGGUGGCCUUUCUUUCUUCUGGAAGAAAGGCCCUGGGCUAUGGUCCUCACAUUUUAGCUCAGAAUAAACUCUCCCAAAUUUUCAUUUAUAGAUUGGCUAUGGAUUAUUUUCGUUGACACAGGGAACGCAGCGGUCUUUUCAUUAGAGCCGGGCAGAAACAAG